rnacentral:tRNA from 1 species
GGCCCAGUAGUUCAGUUGGUUAGAACGCCAGCCUGUCACGCUGGAGGUCGAGGGUUCGAGUCCCUUCUGGGUCGCCA